rnacentral:rRNA from 1 species
UACGUAGGGUGCGAGCGUUAAUCGGAAUUACUGGGCGUAAAGCGUGCGUAGGCGGUUCUCCAAGUCCGUUGUGAAAGCCCCGGGCUCAACCUGGGAAUGGCAGUGGAAACUAGGGGACUGGAAUCUGGCAGAGGGGGGUGGAAUGCCGCGUGUAGCAGUGAAAUGCGUAGAGAUGCGGCGGAACACCGAUGGCGAAGGCAGCCCCCUGAGCUGAGAUUGACGCUCAGGCACGAAAGCGUGGGGAGCAAACAGG